AUUGAACGCUGGCGGCGUGGUUAAGACAUGCAAGUCGAACGGUUUUUUUGGUGUAGCAAUAUAUUGAAAAGGCAGUGGCGAACGGGUGCGUAACACGUGAACAAUCUACCUUUUAGUGGGGAAUAGCUCGUCGAAAGGCGAAUUAAUACCGCAUAUGAUUGAUGCUCUCCUGAGUGUCAUAUCAAAGUCGGGGACCGCAAGGCCCGACGCUAGAAGAGGAGUUCGCGGCCUAUCAGCUAGUUGGUGAGGUAACGGCCCACCAAGGCUAAGACGGGUAGCCGGUCUGAGAGGAUGAUCGGCCACACUGGAACGAAGACACGGUACAGACACCUACGGGUGGCAGCAGUUUCGAAUCAUUCACAAUGGGCGAAAGCCUGAUGGUGCGACGCCGCGUGAGGGAUGAAGGUCUUCGGAUUGUAAACCUCUGUCACUGGGGAAGAAACGCUGAAUCCUAAUACGAUUCAGCCUGACUUAACCCGGAGAGGAAGCAGUGGCUAACUCUGUGCCAGCAGCCGCAGUAA
rnacentral:rRNA from 1 species